UACGUAGGGUGCAAGCGUUGUCCGGAAUCACUGGGCGUAAAAGGGUGCGUAGGCGGGUCUUUAAGUCAGGGGUGAAAUCCUGGAGCUCAACUCCAGAACUGCCUUUGAUACUGAAGAUCUUGAGUUCGGGAGAGGUGAGUGGAACUGCGAGUGUAGAGGUGAAAUUCGUAGAUAUUCGCAAGAACACCAGUGGCGAAGGCGGACUCACUGGCCCGAGUACUGACGCUGAGGCACGAAAGCGUGGGGAGCAAACAGGG
rnacentral:rRNA from 1 species